AGUGACACAGAUCUUUCUGCAGCUGUGCUGUCUCCUAACAAUCGGCUCUCUGCUAGCAGGCUGCAAACAGCAGACAAGAUCAGUGGAUUGCAGAGUGAGCACCACAUUGCACCGUAUGCUGUUUGCAGCCUGCCAGCCGAAAGCCGAUUGUAAGGAGAAGUACAGGAGACAGCACAGCUGCAGAAAGAUCAGUUUUACAACUAUUGAUGUGACAUCGACAACUUUUGAGACAUUGCAUGUGUGUCUACAUAUUUUGGCAAGCUAAGAUUCCAUAUUCUAAUGUCACAACAAGGCAAUGAAAGUGGAAUAUAUUUCAAGGGAAGAUUCUGAAAUUGGGACAGAGGUAUGAUUUUAAUGGGGCUUUGAUUAGUGAAAUUCAGACUAGUAGAAAAUGAAACAGUUUGUUAUGUAACUCAAUAAAAUCAGUUACACAUUUCUUAGUGGGGAGAAAACAACAUUUACGGCACUCCUUGUCAUAAAUGAUUCUUUCCCUGGAAAGCCUUGAUGCCUUGAAGGCAUUUGAGUGAAUGUCAGCAGUGGCUUCUCCUGCCAUCAUCACCUCAAUAAAUGGGGAUUAGUUAUUUGCUUACUUUAGCAAUCAGCUAUUUACAGUGACUCUGUCGGAUGAUAGUAGUUUCAAAGCUGGAGUUAAUUUACUAUUCCUCCCUUUUCCUUAUAGACUUUUCCUUGACCUUGAUACCUUGAUUCUCUCUCCCAACUUUACAUUGAAAGCAAUAAAAAUUCCUUUGACCAUGGCAGUCGCUUGCAUCCAAAGGAAUGUUUAAGGGCAUCUACUGUAGUAGUCAUAAUUAAACAUUUGUCAUAGGCCUAACAAACAUAUUCAGAAUAGAAUCAAGUCUUAUCAGAUCCCCAGUGCCCCAGUGGGUUUCUAGGCAGUGAUCUGACUUUGAGGCAGCUCUGUUACUAUUUGCAAUAGUACUUGUUUGCACAAUUCUUAUGAGGUGAAAUUGUCAAGGUCAUUUUCACUCAUGAUCUCAUCAUUCACUUGGAUUGAAUAAUAAAGAAAAGUAAGUCUUAAGUACCAUUUUCCUACUAGAGCCCAGCGAUUUUAAUAAUUAGUUGUCCCAAUGUAAAACAUUCCUUUUUAUUGGAUUAUUUACAUUGUAUCAUUGCACCAUGCAUCUGAAUUUAUGCAAUUUAGCAAGUAUUACAGGAUAUCCUGCGUCCAGUACAAGCUGCAGUAAGAUUCAAGAACUCGUGCAAUGGAGUCUUUUUUUGGAGGAAAAAAGAAUACACUCUUCAUAAUUUAUCUGCUUUGAAAACAUUCUUCACAAAAGUGAAAAAAUAAUGGCCCAAAACCAAAAUUUGAUUGCUUGCAUAUUUUAGGAAAAAGUGAGUUCAACACACUAUUGAACUCACAUCAAAGAAAGAAAAAUGUUUUGUAAUGCUUGCUUGUGUGUGGUACAUUUAAAGUUAGAUGAAUGUUCAUGUACUUAUAUAAAGAGAGUAAUGCAAUUCUACAAGUAUGACCAAACAGUAAAAAAAUGAUGAUUACAAUUCAACGGAUCUAAGGGUGUUAUUCAUCAACAUGGGAAAUGAUUCACCCAUCAGGUUAACCGUACCAAUAAAUUAGCAAAUAGCUUUUAUUG